rnacentral:rRNA from 1 species
GUUAAGCGACUAAGCGUACACGGUGGAUGCCCUGGCAGUCAGAGGCGAUGAAGGACGUGCUAAUCUGCGAUAAGCGUCGGUAAGGUGAUAUGAACCGUUAUAACCGGCGAUUUCCGAAUGGGGAAACCCAGUGUGAUUCGUCACACUAUCAUUAACUGAAUCCAUAGGUUAAUGAGGCGAACCGGGGGAACUGAAACAUCUAAGUACCCCGAGGAAAAGAAAUCAACCGAGAUUCCCCCAGUAGCGGCGAGCGAACGGGGAGCAGCCCAGAGCCUGAAUCAGUGUGUGUGUUAGUGGAAGCGUCUGGAAAGGCGCGCGAUACAGGGUGACAGCCCCGUACACAAAAAUGCACAUACUGUGAGCUCGAUGAGUAGGGCGGGACACGUGGUAUCCUGUCUGAAUAUGGGGGGACCAUCCUCCAAGGCUAAAUACUCCUGACUGACCGAUAGUGAACCAGUACCGUGAGGGAAAGGCGAAAAGAACCCCGGCGAGGGGAGUGAAAAAGAACCUGAAACCGUGUACGUACAAGCAGUGGGAGCCUCUUUAUGGGGUGACUGCGUACCUUUUGUAUAAUGGGUCAGCGACUUAUAUUCUGUAGCAAGGUUAACCGAAUAGGGGAGCCGAAGGGAAACCGAGUCUUAACUGGGCGUUAAGUUGCAGGGUAUAGACCCGAAACCCGGUGAUCUAGCCAUGGGCAGGUUGAAGGUUGGGUAACACUAACUGGAGGACCGAACCGACUAAUGUUGAAAAAUUAGCGGAUGACUUGUGGCUGGGGGUGAAAGGCCAAUCAAACCGGGAGAUAGCUGGUUCUCCCCGAAAGCUAUUUAGGUAGCGCCUCGUGAAUUCAUCUCCGGGGGUAGAGCACUGUUUCGGCAAGGGGGUCAUCCCGACUUACCAACCCGAUGCAAACUGCGAAUACCGGAGAAUGUUAUCACGGGAGACACACGGCGGGUGCUAACGUCCGUCGUGAAGAGGGAAACAACCCAGACCGCCAGCUAAGGUCCCAAAGUCAUGGUUAAGUGGGAAACGAUGUGGGAAGGCCCAGACAGCCAGGAUGUUGGCUUAGAAGCAGCCAUCAUUUAAAGAAAGCGUAAUAGCUCACUGGUCGAGUCGGCCUGCGCGGAAGAUGUAACGGGGCUAAACCAUGCACCGAAGCUGCGGCAGCGACACUAUGUGUUGUUGGGUAGGGGAGCGUUCUGUAAGCCUGCGAAGGUGUACUGUGAGGUAUGCUGGAGGUAUCAGAAGUGCGAAUGCUGACAUAAGUAACGAUAAAGCGGGUGAAAAGCCCGCUCGCCGGAAGACCAAGGGUUCCUGUCCAACGUUAAUCGGGGCAGGGUGAGUCGACCCCUAAGGCGAGGCCGAAAGGCGUAGUCGAUGGGAAACAGGUUAAUAUUCCUGUACUUGGUGUUACUGCGAAGGGGGGACGGAGAAGGCUAUGUUGGCCGGGCGACGGUUGUCCCGGUUUAAGCGUGUAGGCUGGUUUUCCAGGCAAAUCCGGAAAACUAAGGCUGAGGCGUGAUGACGAGGCACUACGGUGCUGAAGCAACAAAUGCCCUGCUUCCAGGAAAAGCCUCUAAGCAUCAGGUAACAUCAAAUCGUACCCCAAACCGACACAGGUGGUCAGGUAGAGAAUACCAAGGCGCUUGAGAGAACUCGGGUGAAGGAACUAGGCAAAAUGGUGCCGUAACUUCGGGAGAAGGCACGCUGAUAUGUAGGUGAAGUCCCUCGCGGAUGGAGCUGAAAUCAGUCGAAGAUACCAGCUGGCUGCAACUGUUUAUUAAAAACACAGCACUGUGCAAACACGAAAGUGGACGUAUACGGUGUGACGCCUGCCCGGUGCCGGAAGGUUAAUUGAUGGGGUUAGCGGUAACGCGAAGCUCUUGAUCGAAGCCCCGGUAAACGGCGGCCGUAACUAUAACGGUCCUAAGGUAGCGAAAUUCCUUGUCGGGUAAGUUCCGACCUGCACGAAUGGCGUAAUGAUGGCCAGGCUGUCUCCACCCGAGACUCAGUGAAAUUGAACUCGCUGUGAAGAUGCAGUGUACCCGCGGCAAGACGGAAAGACCCCGUGAACCUUUACUAUAGCUUGACACUGAACAUUGAGCCUUGAUGUGUAGGAUAGGUGGGAGGCUUUGAAGUGUGGACGCCAGUCUGCAUGGAGCCGGCCUUGAAAUACCACCCUUUAAUGUUUGAUGUUCUAACGUUGGCCCCUGAUCGGGGUUGCGGACAGUGUCUGGUGGGUAGUUUGACUGGGGCGGUCUCCUCCUAAAGAGUAACGGAGGAGCACGAAGGUUGGCUAAUCCUGGUCGGACAUCAGGAGGUUAGUGCAAUGGCAUAAGCCAGCUUGACUGCGAGCGUGACGGCGCGAGCAGGUGCGAAAGCAGGUCAUAGUGAUCCGGUGGUUCUGAAUGGAAGGGCCAUCGCUCAACGGAUAAAAGGUACUCCGGGGAUAACAGGCUGAUACCGCCCAAGAGUUCAUAUCGACGGCGGUGUUUGGCACCUCGAUGUCGGCUCAUCACAUCCUGGGGCUGAAGUAGGUCCCAAGGGUAUGGCUGUUCGCCAUUUAAAGUGGUACGCGAGCUGGGUUUAGAACGUCGUGAGACAGUUCGGUCCCUAUCUGCCGUGGGCGCUGGAGAACUGAGGGGGGCUGCUCCUAGUACGAGAGGACCGGAGUGGACGCAUCACUGGUGUUCGGGUUGUCAUGCCAAUGGCACUGCCCGGUAGCUAAAUGCGGAAGAGAUAAGUGCUGAAAGCAUCUAAGCACGAAACUUGCCCCGAGAUGAGUUCUCCCUGACUCCUUGAGAGUCCUGAAGGAACGUUGAAGACGACGACGUUGAUAGGCCGGGUGUGUAAGCGCAGCGAUGCGUUGAGCUAACCGGUACUAAUGAACCGUGAGGCUUAACC